GGAUUUCAAAUGGUAGUGGAAAAUAUAGGUGGCGGGUAUAGUUUAGUGGUAGAAGUGUGAUUUGUUCUAUUACCCCUGCAAUAUUUAAAUGGUCUUUCGGUCACAGCAUGCUUGUGUCACCUGAUUGUAAACAUUAUCAUAGAGAUGUACAGCUUACUUCUGGAGACAUACAUCAAGGAGUCAGAAGAGAAGAACAGAUUGUUCAAUGCUAUCAAAGACAUUUCUUGUGUUUCACAGAAGGCAAAGUGGGCCUUGCAUUGGAUUAAGAGGUAUCAGUUUACCCUCGUGUACUUUUUUAUCAAUCAUUGUAAUCAAGACUCUGAAACUGAACAUUUAUCAACAUUCAAGCAAUGCUUACCAAUUUCUGGAAGUUCAUUGGAAGUAGCAGGUUGUACCUACGCUAAUUGCUUUAAUUCAUAGCAUGUUUUGAGAGACAUCGGUGAAAGAACUCAAAAAUAUAGUCUUGGAUUUAGCUUCUCAUUUCAUGGAGUUGUAGGUUUUUGGAUUAUUUUCUCGUCAAUGACUCCCAUGCUUUUCGGUGCUUAAGCCUAUCUCUCUGAACAUAGUAAUUUGGAUAAUCAUGAUUAGCAUGUUACAGUGAGACGUAUGGUUGUUACAGUUCAUUAAACAUUUGCUAAUAUAUACCAGUAGCUGGUGCUUAUGUGCAGAGACUUGUCGCUUUCGCAUGCGUUGAAGGAAAUUUCUUCUCUGGGAGGUAUUAUUCAACUUCUUUCAAAUUUAUCUCGAUAAUGAUAAGGUGUGUUUGACCGUUGUCUGAUGUUUCCUAACAUUGUUUUUGGGAGGUGGAUCACUCCAUCCACAUGUUACAAGUUAAUAGGUCUAAAGAGAUUGAAGGGGAUAAUUGUGCUAAGUUUAGGAGUAUUUUGGACCAUAUAUUAAAUUCAAUGGUUGGAUUUAGUCUUGUGGUCAAUUCUCCUUUGCUAGUCAUGUUACAUUCACUUUUGAUCAUAGUACAAUAUUUGAAUUUGAAUUCAAAUGGUUUUGACUCUAUAAUUACAAGACUUCUUUACGUAUUUUAUUUGGACUUGGCAAAACAAAAGAGAGAGUGUAAAUAGGUAACCAAGCAGGAGAAGUUCAUAUCUCCGGCGAAAUUUUCGGUGGCUUUUGAUGGAUCCUUUUCUCGGUAUAUUCAUUGUCAUUCCUAUGAACGACAGUGUAUGAUUCGGUGUGGCACAAAUCUGAACUCGACAUCAUAGGACACUCCACCGGUGGUGUUGAAGAAGCUUUGGUUCGAUUUGUUGGGUGUUUUCACUUUGAGAGUUUAUGUUUCCGCAUUGUAAUUGUAAUAAUAAUUUAUACACUAUACUUUAACCUCUACAGUUUUCUUUCCUUCUCAUCUUUUGUGCUAUAUUUUGGCUUAAAAAGAGGGGAUUAAUGCCAGGCUUGACAUUCUCAAAUGAACUUAUUUUCAAG
rnacentral:lncRNA from 1 species